AGCCCCCGGCUUCUCUGUGCAGCCUGGAUCUGAAAACCACUUUGUGUUAUUUCCUGCACUGAUGGAUGGUGUCUGAGGGUUGUGCUGUCUGCUCUGUGG
rfam:Otolemur garnettii contig046506, whole genome shotgun sequence.